UACGUAGGGUGCGAGCGUUAAUCGGAAUUACUGGGCGUAAAGCGUGCGCAGGCGGUUAUUUAAGUCAGGCGUGAAAGCCCUGGGCUUAACCUAGGAAUUGCGCUUGAGACUGGAUAGCUUGGAGUGCGGCAGAGGGAGGUGGAAUUCCACGUGUAGCAGUGAAAUGCGUAGAGAUGUGGAGGAACACCGAUGGCGAAGGCAGCCUCCUGGGCCAGCACUGACGCUCAUGCACGAAAGCGUGGGGAGCAAACAGG
rnacentral:rRNA from 1 species